AGUGAACGCUGGCGGUAGGCCUAACACAUGCAAGUCGAACGGCCGCACAGUAAGAGCUUGCUCUUACGGGUGGCGAGUGGCGGACGGGUGAGGAAUACAUCGGAAUCUACUUUUUCGUGGGGGAUAACGUAGGGACACUUACGCUACUACCGCAUGCGACCUACGGCUGAAAGCAGGGGAUCUUCGGACCUUGCCCGAUUGAAUGAGCCGAUGUCGGAUUAGCUAGUUGGCGGGGUAAAGGCCCACCAAGGCGACGAUCCGUAGCCGGUCUGAGAGGAUGAUCAGCCACACUGGAACUGAGACACGGUCCAGACUCCUACGGGAGGCAGCAGUGGGGAAUAUUGGACAAUGGGCGAAAGCCUGAUCCAGCCAUACCGCGUGGGUGAAGAAGGCCUUCGGGUUGUAAAGCCCUUUUGUUGGGAAAGAAAAGCAGCAGGUUAAUACGCCGCUGUUCUGACGGUACCCAAAGAAUAAGCACCGGCUAACUUCGUG
rnacentral:rRNA from 1 species